UACGGGGGGGGUAAGCGUUGUUCGGAAUUACUGGGCGUAAAGGGCCCGUAGGCGGCCAACUAAGUCAGACGUGAAAUCCCUCAGCUUAACUGGGGAACUGCGUCUGAUACUGGAUGGCUUGGAUUCGGGAGAGGAAUGCGGAAUUCCAGGUGUAGCGGUGAAAUGCGUAGAUAUCUGGAGGAACACCGGUGGCGAAGGCGGCAUUCUGGACCGAUAUUGACGCUGAGGAGCGAAAGCCAGGGGAGCAAACAGG
rnacentral:rRNA from 1 species